UAGGGAAUCUUCGGCAAUGGGGGGAACCCUGACCGAGCAACGCCGCGUGAGUGAAGAAGGUUUUCGGAUCGUAAAGCUCUGUUGUUAAGGAAGAACGAGUGUGAGAAUGGAAAGUUCAUGCUGUGACGGUACUUAACCAGAAACGGACGGCUAACUACGUGCCAGCAGCCGCGGUAAUACGUAGGUCCCGAGCGUUGUCCGGAUUUAUUGGGCGUAAAGCGAGCGCAGGCGGUUAGAAAAGUCUGAAGUGAAAGGCAGUGGCUCAACCAUUGUAGGCUUUGGAAACUGUUUAACUUGAGUGCAGAAGGGGAGAGUGGAAUUCCAUGUGUAGCGGUGAAAUGCGUAGAUAUAUGGAGGAACACCGGUGGCGAAAGCGGCUCUCUGGUCUGUAACUGACGCUGAGGCUCGAAAGCGUGGGGAGCGAACAGG
rnacentral:rRNA from 1 species